rnacentral:rRNA from 1 species
AGCUAGUUGGUGGGGUAAAAGCUCACCAAGGCGACGAUCUGUAGCGGGUCUGAGAGGAUGAUCCGCCACACUGGAACUGAGACACGGUCCAGACUCCUACGGGAGGCAGCAGUGGGGAAUUUUGGACAAUGGGGGCAACCCUGAUCCAGCCAUGCCGCGUGAGUGAAGAAGGCCUUCGGGUUGUAAAGCUCUUUCGGCCGGGAAGAAAUCGUAUCAGCUAAUACCUGGUGCGGAUGACGGUACCGGCAUAAGAAGCACCGGCUAACUACGUGCCAGCAGCCGCGGUAAUACGUAGGGUGCGAGCGUUAAUCGGAAUUACUGGGCGUAAAGCGUGCGCAGGCGGUUUUGUAAGACAGGCGUGAAAUCCCCGGGCUCAACCUGGGAACUGCGUUUGUGACUGCAAGGCUAGAGUACGGCAGAGGGGGGUGGAAUUCCACGUGUAGCAGUGAAAUGCGUAGAGAUGUGGAGGAACACCAAUGGCGAAGGCAGCCCCCUGGGUCGAUACUGACGCUCAUGCACGAAAGCGUGGGUAGCAAACAGGAUUAGAUACCCUGGUAGUCCACGCCCUAAACGAUGUCAACUAGGUGUUGGGAGGGUAAAACCUUUUAGUACCGGAGCUAACGCGUGAAGUUGACCGCCUGGGGAGUACGGCCGCAAGGUUAAAACUCAAAGGAAUUGACGGGGACCCGCACAAGCGGUGGAUGAUGUGGAUUAAUUCGAUGCAACGCGAAAAACCUUACCUACCCUUGACAUGUCAGGAACUUUCCAGAGAUGGAUUGGUGCUCGAAAGAGAACCUGAACACAGGUGCUGCAUGGCUGUCGUCAGCUCGUGUCGUGAGAUGUUGGGUUAAGUCCCGCAACGAGCGCAACCCUUGUCGUUAAUUGCCAUCAUUUAGUUGGGCACUUUAGCGAGACUGCCGGUGACAAACCGGAGGAAGGUGGGGAUGACGUCAAGUCCUCAUGGCCCUUAUGGGUAGGGCUUCACACGUCAUACAAUGGUCGGUACAAAGGGUCGCCAAGCCGCGAGGUGGAGCUAAUCCCAGAAAGCCGAUCGUAGUCCGGAUUGCAGGCUGCAACUCGCCUGCAUGAAGUCGGAAUCGCUAGUAAUCGUGGAUCAGCAUGUCACGGUGAAUACGUUCCCGGGUCUUGUACACACCGCCCGUCACACCAUGGGAGCGGGUUCCGCCAGAAGUAGGUAGCCUAACCGCAAGGAGGGCGCUUACCACGGCGGGGUUCGUGACUGGGGUGAAGUCGUAACAAGGUAGCCGUAGGGGAACCUGCGGCUG